UUCCUUUAAGUUCUAUUUAGAAUAACUGUUUUCCAAACAGUAGGACCAAAAAUUAUUGGAAGGGAAA
rnacentral:tRNA from 1 species